ACGAACGCUAGCGGCGCGCCUACACAUGCAAGUCGAACGAUGAAAAGUGGGCAAUCCCUGAGUAAAGUGGCGCUAAGGGUGAGUAACACGUAGGGAUCGUACCCAAGAGCCCGGAAUACCUGCCGAAAGGCGGGCUAAUACUGGAUAGGUCGAGGAGCUCAUAAGGAGUUCCUCGGAAGGGAGCUGGUAACAGCCUUCACUCUGGAUGAGCCUGCGGCCCUAUUAGCUAGUUGGUGAGGGUAACGGCCUCACCAAGGCGACGAUGGCUAGCUGGUCUGAGAGACGAUCAGCCACACUGGGACUGAAGACACUGGCCCAGACUCCUACGGGAGGCAGCAGUGGGGAAUUUUGCGCAAUGGGCGAAAGCCUGACGCAGCGACGCCGCUGUGAGUGAAGAAGGCCUGCGGGUUGUAAAGCUCUUGUCGGAGGGGAAGAAAAUCCAUGGUUAACAGCCUAUGGACGUGACGGUACCCUCUAAGGAAGCACCGGGCUAACUUCCGUGCCAGCAGCCGCGGUAAUACGGACGGGUGCAAGCGUUGUUCGGAUUUAUUGGGCGUAAAGGGGAGGUAGGUGGUCCCGCAUGUCCGGGGUGAAAUCCCCUGGCUCAACUUAGGAAGUGCCUCGGAUACACUGCGGGACUUGAGUCUUGGAGAGGUUGGCGGAAUUCCCGGUGUAGCGGUGAAAUGCGUAGAGAUCGGAAGGAACACCAGAGGCGAAGGCGGCCAACUGGACAGUAUCUGACACUCAAGCUCCGAAAGCCGUGGGUAGCAAACAGGAUUAGAUACCCCUGGUAGUCCACGCUGUAAACGAUGAGUACUAGUAUUUGGCUCGACUUGGCACCCUGCCGCAGUCGGAGCUAAUCGCAAUAAGUUACCCCGCCUGGGAAGUACUGGUCGCAAGGACUGAAACUCAAAGGAAUUGACGGGGGCUCAGCACAAGCGGUGGAGCAUGUGGCUUUAAUUCGAAGGCAUACGCGAAGACCUUACCCUGGGUUUGACAUUCGCUCGUUAGGCAAGCUCCAGAAGAUGGAGUCUUCUUAGAAAUAACGACCUGAUAGAACAGGUGCUGCAUGGCUUGUCGUCAGCUCGUGUCCGUGGGAUGUGGUUCCCUUCAGUCCGGUAACGAGCGCAACCCCUGCCUUAGUUGCCAGCAUAGUCAAGUUGGGCACUUCUAAAGUUACUGCCGUUGAAAACCGGAGGAAGGUGGGGAUGACGUCAAGUCCUCAUGGCCUUAUGUCCAGGGGCUACACACGUACUACAAUGGGUGGCACAAAGAGUUCGCAAACCCGCGUAGGCGGGAGCCAAUCUUCAAAAACCGCUCUCAGUUCGGAUUGCAGGUCUGCAACUCGACUGCAUGAAGCUCGGAAUUCGCUAGUAAUCGCAUGAUCAGCUAUAGCAGCGGUGAAUACGUUCUCCGGGCCUUGUACACACCGCCCGUCACAUCACGAAGGCCCGUUGUACUAGAAGCCGGUGAUCAACCGCAAGGAGAUAGCCGUCCAAGGUAUGAACUGGUGAUUGGGGUG
rnacentral:rRNA from 1 species